rnacentral:rRNA from 1 species
CCUACGGGUGGCAGCAGUAGGGAAUAUUGCGCAAUGGGGGAAAGCCUGAUGCAGCAACGCCGCGUGAAUGAGGACGCCCUUCGGGUUGUAAAGCUCUGUCUUGAGGGACGAUAAUGACGGUACCUGAAGAGGAAGCAACGGCUAACUACGUGCCAGCAGCCGCGGUAAUACGGAGGGGGCGAGCGUUGUCCGGAUUAACUGGGCGUAAAGGGAGCGUAGGCGGACUUUUAAGUUAGAUGUGAAAUACACGGGCUCAACUUGAGUGCUGCAUUUCAAACUGGAAGUCUAGAGUGCAGUAGAGGAGAAGGGAAUUCCUAGUGUAGCGGUGAAAUGCGUAGAGAUUAGGAAGAACAUCAGUGGCGAAGGCGAUUCUCUGGACUGUAACUGACGCUGAGGCUCGAAAGCGUGGGGAGCAAACAGGAUUAGAUACCCUAGUAGUC